AUUGAACGCUGGCGGCAGGCCUAACACAUGCAAGUCGAACGAGUGGCGGACGGGUGAGUAAUGUCUGGGAAACUGCCCGAUGGAGGGGGAUAACUACUGGAAACGGUAGCUAAUACCGCAUACCAUCGGAUGUGCCCAGAUGGGAUUAGCUAGUAGGUGGGGUAACGGCUCACCUAGGCGACGCUCCCUAGCUGGUCUGAGAGGAUGACCAGCCACACUGGAAAUGAGACACGGUCCAGACGCCGACGGGAGGCAGCAGUGGGGAAUAUUGCACAAGGGGCGAAAGCCUGAUGCAGCCAUGCCGCGUGUAGGAAGAAGGCUUUCGGGUUGUAAAGUACUUUCAGCGGGGAGGCGUUACCCACAGAAGAAGCACCGGCUAACUCCGUGCCAGCAGCCGCGGUAAUAC
rnacentral:rRNA from 1 species